AUUGAACGCUGGCGGCAGGCCUAACACAUGCAAGUCGAACGAGUGGCGGACGGGAGAGUAAUGUCUGGGCAACUGCCUGAUGGAGGGGGAUAAGUACUGGAAACGGUAGCUAAUACCGCAUACCAUCGGAUGUGCCCAGAUGGGUUUAGCUAGGGGGUGGGGUAACGGCUGACCUAGGCGAGGAUCCCUAGCUGGUCUGAGAGGAUGACCAGUCACACUGGAACUGAGACACGGCCCAGACUCCUACGGGAGGCAGCAGUGGGGAAUAUUGGAAAAGGGGCGCAAGCCUGAUGCAGCCAUGCCGCUGGUGGGAAGAAGGCCUUCGGUUUGUAAAGUACUUUCAGCGGGGAGGCGUUACCAAAAGAAGAAGCACCGGCUAACUCCGUGCCAGCAGCCGCGGUAAUUC
rnacentral:rRNA from 1 species